AGCAGAUCAGAGCAGAAAGGAGAGCAGACCCAGGGCUCACUUGCCAUUCUCAGUGGCCUUAUAGGCUCUUAGGUUUCCUCAGCUCUCUUCUUUACUAAGGACCCCAGUAAUCAGUCCAUAAGGCCUGCUUUGCCACCUGUGAAUUCACUGAAAUUGUCACAAUUUUUGGAGAUGGCUCAAAGUAGUAAUGCAGAAUCUAUGGAUAAGGUGGCUUGGCAGUAUUUACAAAGGUCAGAUUAAAGUUCACAUCUGAGGCAAAA
rnacentral:lncRNA from 1 species